rnacentral:rRNA from 1 species
UACGGAGGGAGCUAGCGUUGUUCGGAAAUACUGGGCGUAAAGCGCACGUAGGCGGCGCAGCAAGUCAGGGGGUGAAAUCCCGGGGCUCAACCCCGGAACUGCCUCUGAAACUGCAGUGCUAGAAUCUUGGAGAGGCGAGUGGAAUUCCGAGUGUAGAGGUGAAAUUCGUAGAUAUUCGGAAGAACACCAGUGGCGAAGGCGACUCGCUGGACAAGUAUUGACGCUGAGGUGCGAAAGCGUGGGGAGCAAACAGG